rnacentral:rRNA from 1 species
UACGAAGGGGGCUAGCGUUGCUCGGAAUCACUGGGCGUAAAGCGCACGUAGGCGGCUUUUUAAGUCAGGGGUGAAAUCCUGGAGCUCAACUCCAGAACUGCCUUUGAUACUGAGAAGCUUGAGUCCGGGAGAGGUGAGUGGAACUGCGAGUGUAGAGGUGAAAUUCGUAGAUAUCGAGAGGAACACCGGUGGCGAAGGCGGCGAUCUGGACGAUGACUGACGCUGAGACGCGAAAGCGUGGGGAGCAAACAGG